ACAACUAUACUAUACUGACUAGUGCAACCAUCCCUGCCAAAUCAACACCGUGUUCCGGUGGUGGACGCUGGCGGAAGACGGUGCAGAAGAAGGUCGCCAAACCGCACAUAAUGCCGACCACGAUCGCUGCUAUUUUCAACCAGUCCUUCAGCUGCGUCUGAAUGCUAUCUGGUGGUAACGGUGGCGCUGGGCCAUAGAGGGGCACGGUGGGUGGCUCUAUCGGCUGGUCGAAAUAGGGCGGUGGUGGUGGCUGGUAGUGGUAGAAGUGAUAGAGGAGUGGUGGUGGCGACGGCAGCGGUGGCUGGUAAUAAGAGGUGGGUGCUGGUGGCGGUGGCUGGUCGAAGUCAGAGCGAUAGGGGGUGGUGGUGGCGACGACAGCGGUGGCUAGUUAUAAGAGGUGGGUGGUCGUGGCGAUGGCUGGUCCAAAUCAGAGCGAUAGGGAGGUGGUGGUGGCGACAACAACGGUGGCUGGUAAUAAGAGGUGGGUGGUGGUGGCAGUGGCUGGUCGAAAUCAGAGUGAUAGGGAGAUGGUGGUGGCAGCGACAUUGGUAGGAAAUCAUAGGUGGGUGGUGGCGGUGGGGAGUUGCCACAAUCGGGCGGAGGUGGUGGUGACAGUGCGGGUGGGGGUGGGAGUAAGUUGCGUGGUGAAUCGGAGUCGCGUGCCGGUGGUGUCGACAGGCCCUGGGCCACCUUCAUCACCGGGAGAAAAAGCAGCAACAACAGUAGGAGCAUCAGUUGAGAGGAAGAAAAACGGAAGAAGAAGAAGAAGAAAUGGAACAAGUAACAGAGAAGAAAACUUGUCGUGAGUGGUGCUUGGUGAAAGGGGGUUUAACUGCAGGGAGCACUACAUCCGAGUCAAGCUGUGAAGCAGUUAGGCUUAGCUGCAAUGUCUUGGUUGAGAUGUUAAAACCUCUCAAGGAAAAGUUACAUGAGGAAAUGGGUUCUAUCAAAUGGGAGACCCUUAUUCUUCAGUUCUGGACGCUAUCUCGUGGAAACAGAGGCGCUGGGCCACAGCGGGACACAAUGGGCGGCUCCAUCGACGGUGGCAAGUAGAAGUCAAGGUGACAGGUGGUGGUGAUGGCGACGACGGUAGGUAGUAAGAGGUGGGUGGUGGUGGGAAGUCGGCAAAAUCGGGCGGUGGUGGUCAGCAGUAAACUGUGGAUGGUCAGGGUCGCGUAUAGAUAUUUUGCGGCCUAAGGCGAAAAUGCCAGACCGUAGCAACUGUUACAUGAUUGACACUAUCAGACAAUACACACGAACGCAACACGCAACGGCAACACGCACGCAGCACAUACACAUACGAAAAAGAAAAAACGGAAGAAGAAGGUUUGUUGUGACUUGUGAAAUAGAAGAAAAAGAUGGAGUAUAUAUUCAGGACGAGCAUCAAGCACAGCUGCAUUGCAAUUUACUCAGAUUACCAAUUUUAGUUUACUUACAGAAUAAUAAUUGUUCCUGAAAUUAUGAUUUUUCAACGGGUUGCCUAAAUAACCCAUGAUGAAAAUUGGGUUAAAUCACCCUUUGCUUAGGUGCAUCAAUCAUAUUGCAACAUGUGUUUUUA